UCGAACGAAGGCUUCGGCCUUAGUGGCGCACGGGUGCGUAACGCGUGGGAAUCUGCCCUUAGGUUCGGAAUAACAGCUGGAAACGGCUGCUAAUACCGGAUGAUGACGAAAGUCCAAAGAUUUAUCGCCUGAGGAUGAGCCCGCGUUGGAUUAGGUAGUUGGUGGGGUAAAGGCCUACCAAGCCGACGAUCCAUAGCUGGUCUGAGAGGAUGAUCAGCCACACUGGGACUGAGACACGGCCCAGACUCCUACGGGAGGCAGCAGUGGGGAAUAUUGGACAAUGGGCGAAAGCCUGAUCCAGCAAUGCCGCGUGAGUGAUGAAGGCCCUAGGGUUGUAAAGCUCUUUUACCCGGGAAGAUAAUGACUGUACCGGGAGAAUAAGCCCCGGCUAACUCCGUGCCAGCAGCCGCGGUAAUACGGAGGGGGCUAGCGUUGUUCGGAAUUACUGGGCGUAAAGCGCACGUAGGCGGCUUUGUAAGUCAGAGGUGAAAGCCUGGAGCUCAACUCCAGAACUGCCUUUGAGACUGCAUCGCUUGAAUCCAGGAGAGGUCAGUGGAAUUCCGAGUGUAGAGGUGAAAUUCGUAGAUAUUCGGAAGAACACCAGUGGCGAAGGCGGCUGA
rnacentral:rRNA from 1 species